rnacentral:rRNA from 1 species
GGGGGGGGGGGGGGGGGGGCGGGGGGGGGGGGGGGCGGGGGGGGGGGGGGUGCGUGGGGGGGGGGGGCGGGUGGCGGCCGGGGGAGUGACCCGGGCGUGGGCUGCCCUUGACUUGGGGAUGACUUCAGGAAGCUGGGGCUCAUACCGGAUAGGAGCUCCUGCUGCAUGGUGGGGGUUGGACAGUUUCGGCGGUUGGGGGUGUCCUCGCGGCUUAUCAGCUUUUUGGUGGGGUAGGGGCUUACCAAGGCUUUGCCGGGUAGCCGGGCGGAGAGGUUGACCGGCCACAUUGGGACUGAGAUACGGCCCAGACUCCUACGGGAGGCAGCAGUGGGGAAUAUUGCACAAUGGGCGGAAGCCUGAUGCAGCAACGCCGCGUGCGGGAUGACGGCCUUCGGGUGGUAAACCGCUUUCGCCUGUGACGAAGCGUGAGUGACGGUAAUGGGUAAAGAAGCACCGGCUAACUACGUG